rnacentral:snoRNA from 1 species
CUGCUGCUAAGGUUUCCACUAUAGUUGCAAAAUAAAGAACUUCCUCCUGCUUUCUGUCUGGUUGUGGCAGCUAAGAUUGAAUAAGAUAAUACAGGA